UACGUAGGGGGCAAGCGUUGUCCGGAAUUAUUGGGCGUAAAGGGCGCGUAGGCGGCUUUCAAGUGACGGGUGAAAUCCCUACGGCUUAAGCCGACGGAAUACUGCCCUGUCAGACUGGAAGGCUUGAGACCGGGAGAGGUGAGUGGAAUUCCCAGUGUAGCGGUGAAAUGCGUAGAUAUUGGGAGGAACACCAGUGGCGAAGGCGGACUCACUGGACCGGAACUGACGCUGAGGCGCGAAAGCGUGGGAGCAAACAGG
rnacentral:rRNA from 1 species